UAUCUCUGUAGAGUAUGCAUAUCAAUAAGCGGAGGAAAAGAAACUAACAAGGAUUCCCUUAGUAACGGCGAGUGAAGCGGGAAGAGCUCAAAUUUGAAAUCUUCAAGGUUCAACCUUGACGAAUUGUAGUUUAAAGAAGUGUUUUCUGUUGAAGUUUCGGUAAAAGUUCUUUGGAAUAGGACAUCAUAGAGGGUGAGAAUCCCGUAUUUGACCGUUAUUUUCAGCUGUGUGAUACACUUUCAAAGAGUCGGAUUGUUUGGGAAUGCAGUCCAAAAUGGGUGGUAAAUUUCAUCUAAAGCUAAAUACUGGCGAGAGACCGAUAGCGAACAAGUACCGUGAGGGAAAGAUGAAAAGAACUUUGAAAAGAGAGUUAAACAGUACGUGAAAUUGUCAAAAGGGAAGCGUUUGACACCAGUGUUGUUUUCUCGAAAAUCAAUUAAAAAAGGCAGGAUUUUGUGUUGUAUUGACUUUAUCAGCUUUCUGCACUCUUUUCUUGUCUUUUUUAAUGCACUUUUCGUUUAACAAGUCAACAUCAAUUUCUUUUGUUGUAAAAGAGUCAUUGGAAGGUGGCUUUCACUUUCGGAUGAAAGUGUUUAUAGCCUUUGCUCUCUGCAAUCGGAGAGAUUGAGGUCUGCAGCGUAGAUCCUUCGGGGCUAGAUACGUAGAUGCUAAGUUAUAGUUUUUUAUAGACAACUUGUUGACUAUAAUUAAUCAUGUAGCUUACUCGUUUGCGCUAUUUUACCUACGCUUAGGAUGUUGAUCUGUAGUGCGUGCGC
rnacentral:rRNA from 1 species